AGUUAUCUACAGCCGAGCGGUUAAGGCGCCAGCUUCAGGAUUAUCUAAUUCUGCUGGUCAGUUUACUGGCGUGGGUUCGAGUCCCACUCUCAUCA